AUGGGCCGUCAUCGUCCUGUUCAGGAUGCUUCACCACCACCUCCUCCUCGUCUGGCUCCCCUUCCAACGCAUUGCCAGGUACAAUCUCAGCCACCCCAACCGAGCCCCAGUGUGCCUAGCCAGAGAGAUACACUUCCUUCUGAUUCGGUUGAAACCGGAAAGAGCCCUCAGAGUUAUCUUUAUGAUCCCUCUACUGAAUCUCGAGUGACAGUGACACCACAACCAAGACUGGUGGUUUCGAGCAGUGGUCGCUUUUCAUUGGAGUCACAGUCGGAUUUUAGCUCAAAUAGAUUCGAAUUACUAUCGCUGGAAGAGGACGGCGAUGAUUUACCGUCUGCUUCUGACUCAUCUGGCAGGCAUGGUGGUGAUAACAAUGAUGAACGAGAUAGUGGUGAAGGUGCUGUUGUCGCUCGUCAACAUAGUUCUAAUGAUGGUAGUGACAAUGAUGUGGAUAUCGGAGAUCCUUUUCUUACCGAUAGAUUUGGAAAUUUGACAAGUUGGAGGUUGAGUGAUUUGGAGGCAGCAGCAGAUAAUUAUCUUGAAGAUGAAGAAAGUGAAACAGAGGUAGAAGAAAAGAAAUAUUCCAAAAAGGAAAUGCUAAAGCGUGAUGCGGACCGUAAGAAACAGUACAUGGAAUAUGCUUUACAGAAAUAUAACAAUGACGAGGAUCUUGCUGGGGAGAUGCGUUUUGUGUUUGAUGAAAGUAAAGAUGAAGUUUUCAUUAUUGAAGGAAACAUGAACUUCUAUGAACACUUCAACUUUACAGCUAAGCAGGCUGGUUCCACUGUUCUAUUCUUUGCUGAAGUGAUCCCAGACGAAGGAGAACUGUGUGAUGUUCUUUGCUGCAAGCCUUUGGAUUCUGAUGACAAUGAUAUGCUUUCUUAA
rnacentral:rRNA from 1 species